rnacentral:rRNA from 1 species
UGGGGAAUUUUGGACAAUGGGCGAAAGCCUGAUCCAGCAAUGCCGCGUGUGUGAAGAAGGCCUUCGGGUUGUAAAGCACUUUUGUCCGGAAAGAAAUCCUUGGCUCUAAUACAGUCGGGGGAUGACGGUACCGGAAGAAUAAGCACCGGCUAACUACGUGCCAGCAGCCGCGGUAAUACGUAGGGUGCAAGCGUUAAUCGGAAUUACUGGGCGUAAAGCGUGCGCAGGCGGUUUGCUAAGACCGAUGUGAAAUCCCCGGGCUCAACCUGGGAACUGCAUUGGUGACUGGCAGGCUAGAGUAUGGCAGAGGGGGGUAGAAUUCCACGUGUAGCAGUGAAAUGCGUAGAGAUGUGGAGGAAUACCGAUGGCGAAGGCAGCCCCCUGGGCCAAUACUGACGCUCAUGCACGAAAGCGUGGGGAGCAAACAGGAUUAGAUACCCUGGUGGUCCACGCCCUAAACGAUGUCAACUAGUUGUUGGGGAUUCAUUUCCUUAGUAACGUAGCUAACGCGUGAAGUUGACCGCCUGGGGGAGUACGGUCGCAAGAUUAAAACUUAAAUGAACGGGGUCAUAGCUG